rnacentral:tRNA from 1 species
UGGUGUAGCUCAGUCGGUAGAGCAGCGCAUUCGUAAUGCGCAGGUCGCAAGUUCAAGUCUCGUCACC